AUUGAACGCUGGCGGCAGGCCUAACACAUGCAAGUCGAGCGAGCGGCGGACGGGUGAGUAAUGUAUGGGGACUGCCUGAUGGAGGGGGAUAACUACUGGAAACGGUAGCUAAUACCGCAUCCCAUCAGAUAACACAUAUGUGAUUAGCUUGUAGGUGAGGUAACGGCUCACCUAGGAGACGAUACCGAGCUGGUCUGAGAGGAUGAUCAGCCACAGUGGGACUGGGACACGCCCCGAACUCUGACGGGGGCACCGGUGGGGAAUCUUGCACAAUGGGCGAAGGCCUGAGGCAGCCAUGCCGCGUGUAUGAAGAGGGCCUUCGGGUGGUAAAGUACGUGCAGUCGGGAGGCGUUACCGACAGAGGAAGCACCGGCUAACUCCGUGCCAGCAGCCGCGGUAAUAC
rnacentral:rRNA from 1 species